rnacentral:misc_RNA from 1 species
AGGGGGGGGUAUGGGAAGACGGCAUCUUCGGAUGCAUGACCUUUCCCGUGCUUUUUAGAACAUAGAUGGCACCAGUCAGGUGACCAUCGAACGCAAUACGUCGAGUAUGGCGAUUUGGUUGUCCUUCGAGCGCUAAGCGAGAAGGGCGGAUAGCCAAAUCCCGCUCAGAUAUGGCGAGACCCGCCGUCCACGUUUCUCUUUCUCACAAGGAUACGAACCACGCCGCAUCAUGUUGCGUGCUUAACGAAUGGGCCCGUAGCUCAGGUGGUUAGAGCGCACGCCUGAUAAGCGUGAGGUCGGCAGUUCGAGUCUGCCCGGGCCCACCAUUCGCUUAUGCGAAUGUGUCCUGACGUUGUCGCGAUCUAAAGAUCGCUUCGCUCCGGCGGGCCGCCGAACGAUCGGCGACGGGCUUGCCCCUUGCGGCCGCUAUGCGCCGUCGGGUGCACGACGUGUUCACCCGAAUAUGGGGCUGUAGCUCAGCUGGGAGAGCACCUGCUUUGCAAGCAGGGGGUCAGCGGUUCGAUCCCGCUCAGCUCCACCAUUCGAUUGGUGUUGAACUGGCGGAUAUUAUCCUUGGAGAAAAAAUAGGUUUGCAUCGUCUCCAUCGUGAGACGGAUGCCUGUUCUGCUUACAUUGUGAAGAGAAGAUAUGUCUGGAAGCUUCCAGGUGUUGAUGGUGAUCGAAAGGUUGCCUGAGACGUCCGAGCCCAGUCCCGAAGAAGCCAUGGAUGGUCUAGCCGACCGGAAGUGGAAGAGGGUCUGGAGGUAGGAGGGAAGUCUUGUCCUUUGAGGCAUGAUCGUUGUUGGGGUGUUCUUCGGAACGCGCCUCUGAUGGUCGUGUCGGAUUGGUGUUGCCUGACCGCGCAUCACCGGACAGAUCUCGAGAAGCUGGUCUUAAGAUAUGGCCUCGAAGUCGCUCGGCGUGACUUUUGUGAGGACCAUAUCGAACACGUCGAUGGCAUUGUUAGAAAGCGCGAUUGUAAAAGGUAAUCGCGCAUAGCUGGUCUGGCGACUGCAAGGUCUCCGGAUUUUGGCUGCUGCGGCAUACGAAAGUUGCCCGGAUGGCCAGAUUUGGCACCCCUUCGAGCGCAAGCGAGGAGGAUAGGUUUGCCAAAUCCAGCAAAGACGAUGAGCAUUGGCAAUGAGAACGAUCAAGUGAAAGAAGGGCAUUUGGUGGAUGCCUUGGCAUGCACAGGCGAUGAAGGACGUGAUACGCUGCGAAAAGCCGUGGGAGCUGCGAAUGAGCCUUACACCUU